rnacentral:rRNA from 1 species
ACUUACCCAACAGCCCAAACACCACCACAAAAUAAUACUUAACAAACAAACCAUUUGCCACAAUUAGUAGAGGCGAUCAAAAAUUAACAUAGGAGCUAUAGAAAUAGUACCGAAAGGGAAUACUGAAAGACCAGUGAAAAACAAAGUAUAACAAAGCAGAGCUAAUCCCUCGUACCUCUUGCAUCAUGGUCUAGCAAGUCUAAACAAGCACACAGAAAUUCAAGCUUGCCUUCCCGAAAUCAAGUGAGCUAUCUUAUGGCAACCAUAAGAGUCAACUCGUCUCUGUAGCAAAAGAGUGAGAAGACCAUAAGAUAGUGGUGAAAAGCCUACCGAACUUGAUCAUAGCUGGUUGUCCGAUAAAAGAAUUUUAGUUCAGCCUUAAACUUAAUACUUCUAAAAAAAGAACAACAAUUAGUAUAAGACUUAUUCAAUAAGGGUACAGCCUUAUUGAAACAGGAUUCAACCUGAAACAGCGAGACAAGACAUUUACUCAUUACAGUAGGCCCUAAAGCAGCCACCAAUAAAUAAAGCGUCACAGCAUAAUAACCAAAAAUUCCAAACAACCAAACAACCUCCUGCUAAAAACCGGACAAUUCUAUAAUACUAUAGAAGCAAUUAUGCUAGAACUAGUAACAAGAGCAAUACUCUCUCAAACACAACUGUCCCUCAGAAACAGAACAUCUACUGAAAAUUAACAGUAUACUAACACAAUAUUAUUAACUUAGUAAUAACACUGUUACCCCGACACAGGUGUGUAUUAAAGAAAGACUACAAGUUAAAAAAGGAACUCAGCAAACACCAUGUCCCAACUGUUUACCAAAAACACAGCCUUUAGCAAUACAAGUAUUAAAGGUGGCGCCUGCCCAGUGAAUCAUUUAACGGCCGCGGUAUCCUAACCGUGCAAAGGUAGCGUAAUCAUUUGUCCUCUAAAUAAGGACCUGUAUGAAUGGCUAAAUGAGGACUAACCUGUCUCUUUUGACUAGUCAGUGAAACUGAUCUCCCAGUACAAAAGCUGGUAUAUAGACAUAAGACGAGAAGACCCUGUGGAGCUUUAAAUUAUUAUUAAACAAAACAAACACCAUAAACGUCGAUAAUUAAAAAUUUUGAGUUGGGGCGACUUCGGAAUAAAAUAGAACUUCCGAGCACAGAGGUAUACACCCUCAAUUAAGGCCAAUAAGCCGAAAUUUAACUUGACCCAGUACUACUGAUCAACAAACCAAGUUACCCCAGGGAUAACAGCGCCAUCCUCUUUAAGAGUCCAUAUCGACAAGAGGGUUUACGACCUCGAUGUUGGAUCAGGACACCCCAAUGGUGCAGCCGCUAUUAAAGGUUCGUUUGUUCAACGAUUAAUAGUCCUACGUGAUCUGAGUUCAGACCGGAGUAAUCCAGGUCGGUUUCUAUCUAUGCUAAAAUUUUCUUCAGUACGAAAGGACCAAGAAAAUGGGGCCCAUACUAAAAGCACGCCCUAAGAAUUGGAAGUUGAAGCCAACUAAAACCACAAACAACUUAUUACACAACCCAAGACAAGGGACUUA